rnacentral:rRNA from 1 species
AGUUGCCAGCAUUCGGUUGGGCACUCUAGAGGGACUGCCGGCGACAAGUCGGAGGAAGGUGGGAUGACGUCAAAUCAUCAUGCCCCUUAUGACCUGGGCUACACACGUGCUACAAUGGGCGGUACAAAGGGCUGCGAACCCGCGAGGGGGAGCGAAUCCCAAAAAGCCGCUCUCAGUUCGGAUUGCAGGCUGCAACUCGCCUGCAUGAAGCCGGAAUCGCUAGUAAUCGCGGAUCAGCAUGCCGCGGUGAAUACGUUCCCGGGCCUU